CCUACGGGGGGCUGCAGUGGGGAAUAUUGGACAAUGGGCGAAAGCCUGAUCCAGCCAUGCCGCGUGUGUGAAGAAGGCCUUCGGGUUGUAAAGCACUUUCAGUGGGGAAGAAAGCCUUGGGGCUAAUACCCUCGAGGAAGGACAUCACCCACAGAAGAAGCACCGGCUAACUCCGUGCCAGCAGCCGCGGUAAUACGGAGGGUGCGAGCGUUAAUCGGAAUUACUGGGCGUAAAGCGCGCGUAGGCGGUCUGAUAAGCCGGUUGUGAAAGCCCCGGGCUCAACCUGGGAACGGCAUCCGGAACUGUCAGGCUAGAGUGCAGGAGAGGAAGGUAGAAUUCCCGGUGUAGCGGUGAAAUGCGUAGAGAUCGGGAGGAAUACCAGUGGCGAAGGCGGCCUUCUGGACUGACACUGACGCUGAGGUGCGAAAGUGUGGGUAGCAAACAGGAUUAGAUACCCGUGUAGUC
rnacentral:rRNA from 1 species